rnacentral:tRNA from 1 species
GCUUCUGUAGCAUAGUGGUAGUGCGUUCGCUUCGUAAGCGAAAGGUCGCGAGUUCGAUCCUCGUUAGGAGCU